GGAGAGGGCCCGGCGAUCGGCAUCGACCUGGGCACCACCUACUCGUGCGUGGGCGUGUGGCAGCACGACCGGGUGGAGAUCAUCGCCAAUGACCAGGGCAACCGCACCACGCCCUCCUACGUCAGCUUCACCGACACCGAGCGCCUCAUCGGCGACGCCGCCAAGAACCAGGUCGCCAUGAACCCCACCAACACCGUCUUCGAUGCCAAGCGGUUGAUCGGCAGGCGGUUCUCGGACCCGUCCGUGCAGAGCGACAUGAAGCUGUGGCCAUUCAAGGUCAUCCCGGGCCCUGCUGACAAGCCCAUGAUCGUCGUCCAGUACAAGGGCGAGGAGAAGCAGUUCGCGGCCGAGGAGAUCUCCUCGAUGGUGCUCAUCAAGAUGAAGGAGAUCGGCGAGGCCUACCUCGGCACCACCAUCAAGAACGCCGUCGUCACGGUGCCGGCCUACUUCAACGACUCGCAGCGGCAGGCCACCAAGGACGCCGGGGUCAUCGCCGGCCUCAACGUGAUGCGCAUCAUCAACGAGCCCACUGCCGCCGCCAUCGCCUACGGCCUGGACAAGAAGGCCAGCAGCUCCGGCGAGAAGAACGUGCUCAUCUUCGACCUCGGCGGCGGCACCUUCGACGUGUCGCUGCUCACCAUCGAGGAGGGC
rnacentral:rRNA from 1 species